CAGUCAUGCUAGUGAGGAAUCAGCCUUUCGGGUGCGAUUCUGUGGGGUGUGAAGAGUUAAACGCCUUCACGUUUUGCAUAUUUGUGCUCUUGGGUGUAUUUGCCCGUGUGGUUGGUUAACAUCAAUUUUGGACGCCAUAAAAUGACUGGAGGAAUGUAGCUUCGAUCUCGUAUUGAAGUG
rnacentral:rRNA from 1 species